rnacentral:rRNA from 1 species
AUUGAACGCUGGCGGCAGGCCUAACACAUGCAAGUCGAGCGAGCGGCGGACGGGUGGGUAAUGUCUGGGAAACUGCCUGAUGGAGGGGGAUAACUAAUGGAACCGGUAGCUACUACCGCAUACCAUCAGAUGUGCCCAGAUGGGAUUAGCUAGUGGGUGGGGUAAUGGCUCACCAAGGCGACGAUCCCUAGCUGGUCUGAGAGGAUGAUCAGCCACACUGGAACUGAGACACGGUCCAGACUCCUACGGGAGGCAGCAGUGGGGAAUAUUGCACAAUGGGCGCAAGCCUGAUGCAGCCAUGCCGCGUGUGUGAAGAAGGCCUUCGGGUUGUAAAGCACUUUAAGCGAGGAGGCGUUACUCGCAGAAGUAGCACCGGCUAACUCCGUGCCAGCAGCCGCGGUAAUUC